CUUUAAAUAUACAUAAACACACAUAUAAUUCUGUGUAAAGUUACAUAAAUGCAAAACUGAUUGCAGGAGCAUGACUCAGUAUGACUCAGUACAUCUGCAUCAUUUUUACAAGUUGAAGAUUCUGUUUCUGCUUACUAAUGAACAGUACUUUGGUUAGCUGGGGUCAGCUAUCCUCCUUGCAUUUCUUCCCCAGCCCCUUGUCCAUGCCCAGCAUAAUCACUGGCAGGGCAGAGAGGUAAAAAGCAAAGGCCUUGACAGUGCAAACACUGUUAAGUGCCACUAAAACCCCUGUGUUAUUUACACUGCCCUAGUCACAAAUCUAAGCCACAACACCCUGUGAGCAGCUAUGAUGGGAAUUAACCCUAUUCCACUGGUGUUCCAGCCUGCCCAGUAGAGCAGGGAUGUCUGGGCCCUGUGCCAGCCCAGACAUGUGGUCAUUGCUGAUAACAAAAUGUUCCCUUGCACAGCAGAGCAUGAUGAUAAGUGAUACAAUAAACAGCAGAAGUCCAAACCAGUCACUGACUUGACAGACUUUAAUAUUGGGUAAGGCAAAAAGUUUGAACCCAUGCAAAUAACAGCUAUAAAUUCUACCUAGCACACUCUGAUAAAGGAUGUUAUCUCAAAAUCCUCUUGCCCCACAUUGGACACCAAAAAGGACUGCAGUAGGUUGGCCCAAGCUGGCGGCCGAGUCCUCACUCAGUCACUUGAUGGCUUUCCCCUGGCAGGCUGGGAGAGAGGAUUGGAAGGGCAAAAGAAAAGAAACUUGUGGGCUGAUAUUAAGGCAGUUUAAUAAGCAAAUCAAAGCUGCACAUGCAAGUAAAGCAAAAUAAGGAAUUCAUUUGCCACUUCUCAUCAACAGACGUGUUCAGCUGCUUCCAAGCAGGCAAGACCUCGACACACCUGACAGCUGCUUGGGGAGAGAAACACCGUAACUCUGAACAUUCCCCUUUUGUCCUUUUCCCCCCUGCAUCUCUUGCUGAGCACAAUGUCACACGGUCUGGGAUAUUACAUCCCCUGCUUCAGCUGUGUCCUCUCCCAGCCUCUUGUGCAGCCCCAGCCUCCUCACCAGUGGGGCAGGGUGGGGAAAAGAAAAGGCCUUGGUGCUGAGCAAACACUGCCAGUACCAGCUAAACCAAUGUGUAUUAUCAGAUAAGUGCCAGUUUAGUCAAAAAACCAAAGCACAGCGCUAUACAGGCUGCUGUGGAGAAAAUUAACUCUAUCCUAGCUGGACCACAUACACAGUGUUUUAAUUUUAUUAAGCAGCCAUCUUAGACUGAAUUCGCCAAGGCUUUUGAAAAUCUGUAGCUAAAGCAGUCAGUCCUGCACAGUCUUUUGCAGACUGUGGAAUGAAAUUCUGUGUAUGUUGAGAUUAUUUGCAAAAUACACAAGGAGAGCAAUAAUUCCUGCAGUUUUCUCAGAGGUGAAAGAUGCAUGUGACAGCAUGAAGGUUAGCAAACAUAAGCUCUUUUGAACUGAGGGACAAAUGUGGUGCCAAAGUUCAGAGUAAUACAGUAAAUAAUUUCACAAAUCUGGAUGAAUGCCUUCACGCUGGCCUUUUGAUCCAAAGGUCCAAAGUUAACUGCUUUUAGCUUCAAACAGAGUUGCAAUGGAGCUGCUGCCCUCUAAUGUUCAUUCCAGCUUGCAAGAGGCUGCAGGGUGUCCAAAGCUGACUGUCUGCAGGUGACAAUAGCACAGGGGAUGCUAUGCUUGAAGCCUUGUGCUUUACUCACAACCACCUUUACUAGGUACAACCAAGUGUUUCCAUUUUCUUUCCAGAGGUGCUGGCUGUAUGUCUUCACACAGCUCUGAAACUGGUUGUGUCUGCAUGUGGAUUGGAAAGGAGUUGGAAGUAUGUGUAAAGACAGUUGAGCAGCUCUGAAAUAUGUACUGACAGCAGCACCACAGUAACUUCUCUACAGCCUGAUGCAGUAGUCCAGUAUUAAGACAGGUUUGUACAGAGUGCCCUGUACAAUCUGAAGUUGGUGCAGGCAGUCUCAUGUGGAUGGGUACAGACACCUCUGCAUUUUAGAAGAGAUAUAACCUUCAUUUCUGCCAGUUUUUCUGCUGGUGUUCUGAAUGUAACACCUGCACUGCAGGGAUCCCUGCACUGAAGCUGGGCCAGCUCACCUUCACCAAGAUUCCCAGGAGUCAGCAAACUGGAUGGUUCCCUCCACACCACCAGGAUAUCAAAGCAUGGUGGAGGACUAAAGCUGCAUAUUACCCAUGGAUUACAGCCAGUGCUGAUCCUGUUUCUGCAUCCAGUCAUAAACCUGAACUGUGCAUCAGCACAGAUACAAAGGUGAAUCUGGGCUUUGGGGCUCUUCUUACAUUAGAGAUGCCUGUGAAGGAUGCAUGGCAAGAGUAUGUCUAAGUGAAGUGCCAGGAGAACUCUGCAGAAAAAGCAUCAAAUGUGGUCAGGACUCCAGAUAAAAAACCAAUCUGGAGCAUCCUCCAGCACCCCCUGAAAUGUCCAUUAACAGUGGUGGGUUCAUCAGAAUAAUUCACUUUAGGAUGGUGCUAAGGAGUAAAAGGAGGGCUUGCAACUUCACAAGUACUCAUACUCAUCAGAUGUCUUUCAUGACAGGAGAAGAAUUUUUUGGCACAUGCCUGAGAGAGGAAGGCUCUGCCCAUGCCCACAUAUGUGCUAGGGAAGACUGUUUAUCAAUGUUACUAUGAAGCACCAGAGAAAUGAGAUGUAGCACUGUCCUAUGUGGACCAAUUGCUGUUUUGUAUGAGUCAGUUACUCCUCUCAAUCAGUGUAAAAUAUUCCUCUUCUUGCUGUGUUUAUUCAUGCUAACUCUAGAUCAUAACCAGUUUAUCCACCUACACUUUCCUAUCAUUACUGUGCCCCAUUCUCCAUUUGUUUGUUACACCCAGUGCUUGAAUCAUGCUUUAAUUACAAUCUCCUCCAGGUAGGGACUCAAAUCUUCUUGAAUGUUUGUACAGCACUCUCCAAAACAGGCCAUGGGAUCAUUCUCAGGGUUCCUGGGCACAUCUCUAACACCAUUCCUAAUGGGAGCAAUACUGUGUUAAGCCCACUGUGACCUACAUACACAAGCACCAAGUAAUUCAGACCAACCUAUUGGCUUCUUCAUUUAAUAAAAGUACAGGGUAUGUUUCUUCUAAGUUCUUGUUUUUCUGUGUAACACCACUAUUAUACUCUCUUUUAGAACUUCCCAUGAAAUUUUUUCCACUGUUUGUAGCAAACUUAAGUGGUUUUUCCAUUUUUCCCCUCAUGUAGCUGACUGCAAAAUAUUUUAAACUGUUACAUCCACAAUGGAAUUGUAUAGUGGUGUACAACAUGACCUACCUUAGUUCAGGAGUUAUCCUGAUAUGCUGUGGUCUCAGAAGCUUGGAUUUUAGACUGGCUUCUGUAUCAGCUUUGUUCCAGAGAACUACAAUGCUGCAUUUCCCCCUCCAUGUACAGGGGCUUUAAAUUGACCCUCUAUGGCUGCAUAAUAUUUAUGAGUUUCCUGUUGAAAGCCCCGAGAUUAUCAAGUUGGGGGUUGGAAGUAGAAGACACAGCCAAGGUUAUAUCCAGUUAUAUCCAGUCUACUGUUCUAACAGAUAGCUACCUGUAGCCUUUGAUCUAAACUAAUCAUCCUGCAUUUCAGAAAUAAUUUGGAUUUUUUUUGUCCUUGUUAAUUUUAUUUCAUUCCAACAUAGAUACUAGUUAAUGGAGUCUACUUCCCCAUAUUAGUUAUAAUGGCCAAAAUAAUAAAAGUGGUGGCUGCUGUUUGUCACAUUUCUGCCUUUGUUCCUUCCAUGCUCAGCAAAAGACAAAUCUGUUUUAUUGUCUCCUUCUGGAUACUUUCUGAAAUAAUUGUACCAUCUUAGUGCUCACAUGCUGAGGAAGAAUUCUGAACAACAGCUUCAUAAGAGUGCAGUUUUUAAAGUUUUUAAUUUACAGAAGAUUUUCUCUAAACAAUUUGGCAAGACUUUAGAACUUUUCAUGCACAUAUAUUUUAUUAAUUCCUCCACAAUACACUGCAGAAGAAAGAAAUGGGUAAGAUUAAGGAAAGUGUGAAAAACCCUAUUUUUCACAGCUUAUGUCUUCCAUCUUAGAAAAAAAUAUUGUAAAUGUUGAGGUUUUUACUAUCAAACAUGUUUAACCUUUCCUUUUUCUAGUACAGUGGGGAGAUGGAAAGAGAAGAUGUGGAGGAAGGCUAAGAGAGAAUAAAAAAAAGAUAGAAAGUAAAAAAAAAAAA